GACGAACGCUGGCGGCGCGCCUAACACAUGCAAGUCGAGCGAUGAAAUUUUAACCGAUCUCUUCGGAGAGAAGAUAAAAUGGAUUAGCGGCGGACGGGUGAGUAACACGUGAGAAACCUGCCUUUCACAAGGGGAUAGCCUCGGGAAGCCGGGAUUAAUACCCUAUGACACAUUUCCUUCGCAUGGAAGAAAUGUUAAAACUCCGGUGGUGAAAGAUGGUCUCGCGCCUGAUUAGCUAGUUGGUGGGGUAACGGCCCACCAAGGCCAUGAUCAGUAACCGGCCUGAGAGGGUGAACGGUCACAUUGGAACUGAGACACGGUCCAAACUCCUACGGGAGGCAGCAGUGGGGAAUAUUGCACAAUGGAGGAAACUCUGAUGCAGCGACGCCGCGUGAGCGAUGAAGGCUUUCGAGUCGUAAAGCUCUGUCCUAUGGGAAGAUAAUGACGGUACCAUAGGAGGAAGCCCCGGCUAACUACGUG
rnacentral:rRNA from 1 species